rnacentral:lncRNA from 1 species
AAAAAAAAAAAAAAAAAAAAAAAGUUACAUAUACAUAUUAAAUACGUUGCAUGUGUACAACCCUAAUACGUAACUAAUGCACCAUUUUUAUUUCUAAUUCAGAUAUUAUGUAGGUCUACUAACAGCACUAGCACUUUUCCAUUGUUUAGUGUUUGUUUUCUGUCUUGUUUUUUUCAUUUUAUUUUUGAAAAAUGAUAGCACAAAGAAUCAAUGGAAAUCUUUCUACAACACAUCAAGCGAUGUCCCUUUUUACGUUUUAGUGAGUGCACUCACUGUGUUGAACGGAGUUUUUUUUUGUUUUAGUUGUACAACUUCUAGGAUUGCACAUUUUUCUGAUUUUAAAAAAAAUGACCACAUAUGAGUAUAUCGUUAACAGAUCGAACUCUAAGGAUAAAGAAAAUAAAAACACAAGGACGUGUUUAGAAUGGAUAGUCAUAGAUAAAAAGUGCGUACAUUUAUUGAAUGAAAAAUAUUUGAGCAUUUUCAUAUAAAACAUAUGCAUACAUUCAUUUAAUAUUAUUCCAAAUUUUGUCUAUAUACGUAUAUACCUAUAUAUGUAUGUGUAUAUGUUUUUAUCUAUUUAGUAAUAUAACUAGUUAAUUAACUAGCUAUUUUUCAUUUUAUUUAUUUAUUUUUUAUUUUUUUUUAUUUUUAGGCGCUUGAAAAGCAAUAAUGAUAUUGAAGUAUGAAAAUUGAAUUUUUUUUUUUCAUUUUUUUUAGCUAUAUAUUUAGCUAUACAUUUAUAUAUAUAUAUAUAUACCCCAUUUGGGCCACUUUUUUACAAAAUACAAAUAAUAUAUACAAAAAAAUAACUCAUUGAAUUAAUUUGCUUUGUUUUACAGAAUAUAGAAAAUCCAUAACAUUGAAUUAUCAAAAACUGAAAAAAAAUAAUAAAAUGUUAUUAAAACAAAUAAAAAGGAAAAAA